UGCUAUUAAAGCAGGGGCUGAUCAGCUGGGCCAAGUGGAGAGGGAAGAUGUUGGGAGCAGCUGAUGUGUUGUGGAAGGGAUUCCCAUUAACACGGGCUUGAAGCAGAACAGCCAGCUCUUACAGCCCUUUACCAGGUUGUUUACUGCAGCAGUCUCUCUGAAGUCAGAGAAACCACAGCCCUGGUGUCAACUUCCAUUUUAACUACACAACCAGUUAUCAGCCCAUUUCCAUAAUAAGGAGAUUAAAAGCGCUGAGAAAUGUGCAGUUUGCUCAUGGCUGGGGACUUUCCUGCUGUCUUCCCGAGACCCUCUCGUCCUGCUGAGCUCUGCCUGCCACUUUUCCCUGGAUCCCUGGGGAGGGAGGCAGUGGGUGCAGGUGAUGGACAUGCCAUGGACCAGUGGAGGCAGCUGGUUCCUCAUGCUCACAGCCCCUCAGAAGAAAUAAAUUAGGCCAGGUCACUUUCCUUGAUCCUUGAACAUCUCAUUUAUUGUUUAGGAGUGUAACUUGAAACAUUUCUCCACUGGCAAGGUUGGUUUAGAGGUUUGUUCUGCCUGCACCCACACCUCAGUCUGUCGUUCUUCUGGGACCAGCCUGGGAAUCACUUCAGCCAUCAGAGUAAUCAUAGCUGGAUCCAACCCCAUUUCUGCCUCCCCUUCAGCAGAGGGCAGAAGACACUUUCCACAGCAUGUAGUAAUUCCCAUGUCGUCCUACUUCAGAGAGGCUCAAGGGAUACUUCUGAAGUAACAGACCUGCACCAGUGCAACAGAGGGCAGGCAGGCAGGGGCCAGGAUGCUGAUGGAUGCCUCCUGGGAGCAUUUCUCCAGAGUCUGCAAGCCAAAGAUCUUCCUCCAGACUGCAGUAGCUGAGUACAAGUGCAAACCAGAACUGUGGUUGCAGUUGUGAGCCACUUGCCUCCAAAUGCAAAUGUCUCACCAAGAGCAAAGCUGUAGCUGCACACAAAUUUAUUCAUGUGGCAUCACCAGAAAACCUUCAACCACUACAUUAAAACAUAAGCAUUUUACAAAAGCAAUUAUUUAACCAUCAGGUUGCUGCUAUUUUAUGUAAGAUUGGUAAAAGCUGGGUUUAAUUCCUCUCCUCAGGCUCUCCGGUUUUAUUUUCUGAUCAGCUGCUGUCUUUUAUUCCUGCCUCUUAGACCUAGUUGCCAGGACUUCAGCUUCUGGCUCAGAGGGCAAGGGAGCCCUUGCUUCAGGACUACAGUACAGAUGGACAGAUUUCCUUGCCUCAGCACUGGUAAACUGCUCCCUGUCCAGGUCACUGGCAUGAGCAAGCCACUGUGAGCCUUGGUGCUGCUUCUGCCCCUUGGGUGUCCCCCAAAACAGAGAGCAGCCCGGGAUGGGGCACAAGAUGGGGUGUUGGGGUUUGCUGCUCAAGCUGAUCUUGUCCCAAGACCCUCAAAUUCACUUUUUUGUGAAAAGACACAGUCACCUCAGGAUCCAGAUCCUGAGCUGGGAUGGGAAACGCAUAUUAAAUUGCAAGGAUGAAAGGAAGCGAUUUAUGCCAGUUAUUCACUAGAAGUGUUGUAACACUGCUGUGCUGCAGCAGAGGCACAAAACUCCAGCUGUAGGUGAUUGUUAAAUAUCCCUCCUCAGUUUUACAGCUUCACCAUUCUGGGCUAUAUUUUGCUUAAAAACACUCACAUGCACAUCAAGUUUUGACUCUAAACUAAACCCCCAGCAAUGCUCAUCUUCCACUACAUGUAUGAAUGCAGAGUUUCUCCCCCAAAACGUCCUGCACUGGUUUGGGGUUUGAAGUCUGACUAUGAGACUGCAAAUGCCAUUUGAAGGCAACACGACGGAGCACCACACUAGUGAGAGAAGCCACUGGGCAGAAGAUGCUUGCAGGAAAAAAAAAAAAAAAAAAAAAAAAAAAAAAAAGGGUUUGUUUGUGGCUGUGCACGUAAUUGAGAUGAGACAGCAACAAGUCAGAGGAAAAGCUUUCAGGGUCCCCGAAGAACACAGCAUCUGCUGCGUGUCUGCUUCCAUCUGGAUUAACCACUGCCUGCCCCUAGAGAGGGCUCGGAGCCGCCGUGGGGACGGGUCUGGUGCUCCCCGGGGGCUUUGUCCUGCUGCACCUCUCUAGUUAAGAUCUCAGAAGCGAGAUUUGUCACUCAACCAUCUGGAAUAGGCAACCGCAGGAGGCUGCUGCUCCUCAGUCUGUCACACUCUUAAACUGUGCUAAUGUCAUUCAGAUGUUUCACAAAGCGGCCCUGACAAGCAGGCAUGAAAUUAAGAUGUUUGUGGAGCUGGCCAAGUGGGAAAUGACAACAAGGUAGCAGGGAAAGGCAGGGGAGGGGGGCACAUUCAGAGGCUGCACUGGGGAAUAUUUGCUUCCUCUCACUCCCGUGGAUGUGCUGCAGUGUGGACCAGCAGCUCAGGGAAAGCCAUGGAGCAUCUCCCCAGUGUGCCCCUUGCUGCUCUCAUUUCAUCCAGCCUCAGGACUGAACCCACAACAACCCCUCAAGUCCUCACUGAGCUGGGGUUUUCUAUCCCUUCAUACCCAGGGACACCUGUCCUGGGUGGGAAUGGGCUGGGGAAAGUGUGGUGGCAGUGGCAGAAAGCACCCUUGAACCCCACAAUACCGUGGCCCCAUGGGUUUCUCUGCACACAGAGCUCCCUGUGCUCCCACCUUGGUCUGGGCACUGGGACAAGGAGCUGAGGGCAGCCGGUCCUCACUUUGUGCUGCAAGGUGCUUUUAUCAGCAGAGACUUGACACGGGGCUUUAAAAUGCUUCCUAAUUAAGGAGCCGGACAGCCUGGAAAGCAAUUAG